rnacentral:rRNA from 1 species
CUCAGGAUGAACGCUGGCGGCGUGCCUAAUACAUGCAAGUCGAACGGUCGACUUCGGUCGAUAGUGGCGAACGGGUGAGUAACGCGUUGGUGACCUGCCCCGAAACGUGGGAUAACAGGCCGAAAGGCUUGCUAAUACCGCAUGAGCAAGAGGGAGUUAGAGAGCCUUUUGUAAAGGGAGAAAUCUCGUUUUGGGAGGGGCCUGCGACCCAUCAGCUAGUUGGUAAGGUAACGGCCUACCAAGGCGAUGACGGGUAGGGGACCUGAGAGGGUGGCCCCCCACAAUGGAACUGAAACACGGUCCAUACACCUACGGGUGGCAGCAGUAGGGGAUAUUGCUUAAUGGGCGAAAGCCUGAAGCAGCAACGCCGCGUGUGCGAUGAAGGCCUUCGGGUUGUAAAGCACUUUUAGCAGGGAAGAGGAAGGACGGUACCUGCUGAAUAAGCCUCGGCUAACUACGUGCCAGCAGCCGCGGUAAAACGUAGGAGGCGAGCGUUAUCCGGAUUUACUGGGUGUAAAGCGCGUGCAGGCGGUUUGUUAGGUUGGAUGUGAAAGCUCCCGGCUCAACUGGGAGAGGUCGUUCAAGACUGGCAGACUGGAGAGCAGUAGGGGAAGGUGGAAUUCCGGGUGUAGUGGUGAAAUGCGUAGAUAUCCGGAGGAACACCAGUGGCGAAGGCGGCCUUCUGGACUGCAUCUGACGCUCAGACGCGAAAGCUAGGGGAGCAAACGGGAUUAGAGACCCCGGUAGUCCUAGCCGUAAACGAUGUGAACUUGGCGCCGGUUGGGUAAAACCGAUCGGUGCCGGAGCUAACGCGAUAAGUUCACCACCUGGGGACUACG